rnacentral:rRNA from 1 species
CGGCGGGCCUGCAGCUAUACAUGCAGUCGAGCGAAUGACGAGGAGCUUGCUCCUCUGAUUUAGCGGCGGACGGGUGAGUAACACGUGGGUAAUCUGCCUGUAAGACGGGGAUAACUCCGGGAAACCGGGGCUAAUACCGGAUAAUAAGAAGAAACGCAUGUUUCUUUUUUGAAAGUCGGUUUCGGCUGACACUUACAGAUGAGCCCGCGGCGCAUUAGCUAGUUGGUGAGGUAACGGCUCACCAAGGCGACGAUGCGUAGCCGACCUGAGAGGGUGAUCGGCCACACUGGGACUGAGACACGGCCCAGACUCCUACGGGAGGCAGCAGUAGGGAAUCUUCGGCAAUGGGCGAAAGCCUGACCGAGCAACGCCGCGUGAGCGAUGAAGGCCUUCGGGUCGUAAAGCUCUGUUGUUAGAGAAGAACAAGUACGAGAGUAACUGCUCGUACCUUGACGGUACCUAACCAGAAAGCCACGGCUAACUACGUGCCAGCAGCCGCGGUAAUACGUAGGUGGCAAGCGUUAUCCGGAAUUAUUGGGCGUAAAGCGCGCGCAGGCGGUCUCUUAAGUCUGAUGUGAAAGCCCACGGCUCAACCGUGGAGGGUCAUUGGAAACUGGGAGACUUGAGUGCAGGAGAGAAAAGUGGAAUUCCACGUGUAGCGGUGAAAUGCGUAGAGAUGUGGAGGAACACCAGUGGCGAAGGCGGCUUUUUGGCCUGUAACUGACGCUGAGGCGCGAAAGCGUGGGGAGCAAACAGGAUUAGAUACCCUGGUAGUCCACGCCGUAAACGAUGAGUGCUAGGUGUUGGGGGGGUUCCACCCUCAGUGCUGAAGUUAACACAUUAAGCACUCCGCCUGGGGAGUACGACCGCAAGGUUGAAACUCAAAGGAAUUGACGGGGGCCCGCACAAGCAGUGGAGCAUGUGGUUUAAUUCGAAGCAACGCGAAGAACCUUACCAGGUCUUGACAUCCUCUGACCACUCUAGAGAUAGAGCUUUCCCCU